CUGCAGCCCGAGUGGUGAUCGAUUUUAUUGAGCCUAAAGCGUCCGUAGCCGGACUAGUAAACCCUUGGGUAAAUUGGGCAGCUUAACUGUCCAAAUUCCGAGGGGACUGCUAGUCUUGGGACCGGGAGAGGUCAGAGGUACUCAAGGGGUAGGGGCUAAAUCCUGUAAUCCUUGGGGGACCACCAGUGGCGAAGGCGUCUGACUAGAACGGAUUCGACGGUAAGGGACGAAACCCUGGGGCGCGAACCGGAUUAGAUACCCGAGUAGUCC
rnacentral:rRNA from 1 species